GACGAACGCUGGCGGCGCGCUUAACACAUGCAAGUCGAGCGAUGAAAUUUCGACAGAUCCCUUCGGGGUGAAGAUGAAAUGGAUUAGCGGCGGACGGGUGAGUAACACGUGAGUAGCCUGCCUUUGACAUUGGGAUAGCCUCGGGAAACUGGGAUUAAUACCAAAUGACACUAACUGAUCACAUGAUCAAUUAGUCAAAGAAAUUCGGUCAAAGAUGGACUCGCGGCUGAUUAGCUAGUUGGUGAGGUAACGGCCCACCAAGGCGACGAUCAGUAGCCGGCCUGAGAGGGUGAUCGGCCACAUUGGAACUGAGACACGGUCCAAACUCCUACGGGAGGCAGCAGUGGGGAAUAUUGCACAAUGGGGGAAACCCUGAUGCAGCGACGCCGCGUGAGCGAAGAAGGCCUUCGGGUCGUAAAGCUCUUUUAUGAGGGAAGAUAAUGACGGUACCUCAAGAAAAAGCCCCGGCUAACUACGUG
rnacentral:rRNA from 1 species